ACCUGCAGUGGUACAGUGGAAGCGUGGAGUCCUAACCACUGGACCACCAAGACUUUGGUGUUUCUCCAAGAUGGUUCCUGUUCUCUGGUGAGGACCCUGCAGACCCGCCGUCUCCAGUCAUGGAGCCUUCCCAGAACUUCGCACAGCAAAUUGGCGGGCGUCUCACCUCCGGAGGCCCCUUGGCCCCUUGGUGGACUCCUGCCUCUGCCUACUUUGUCUUCACAGCAAAUACAGAGAAGCCUUGCUGGAACACUGUGAGUGGGGUGUAAAUUGCAGUCACAGUACUGUGAUUGUGGCACAGGGGCCACCAGAAGUUGCGGAAGUCCAUCCAAGCAGUCAGGCCCUCCAUUCUCAGCUGUAGGUUGGCACGACUUGUUGGCAGUUGUCCACUCUGGCUUAAACAUUGAAGAUAUUGAUUCUGGGUCUUGAGAAUGGCUGGAACUUCCAGGACAUAGAUAACAAUUUCAACAAUCUCUCCUUUAAUUGUUUCAUUGGCCUGAUUACGGGGAGACUGGUUGAGGUUAAAACUGGGGAUGCAGACACUCAUCUUCACCAGAUGGGGUUGGCUGUUGUUUCUCUGCCUGGAUGGCCUGUGGGAGAGGAUCUGCAUACUCACGGGGGUCAGUGUAGGCUUUUGCUGUAUCUCCUCUCCUUCACUCUCUCCUCCUGGGAUUCUUGUCACAUCUACGUCAGACCUUAUUAUCUUCUACAGAUCUUUGAACAUUUCCUUCAUGUUUCCCAUCUCCUUGUCCCUGUGGUAUUCUGGGCCUCCUUGCAUGUUUCUUCCACUACACUAAUGCUUUCUUCAGCUGUGUCUAAUCUGCUACUUAACCUACCCAUUGAAUUCUAUUUCAGUGAUUAUAAUUUUCAUUUCUAAAAGUUCUACUUUAAAAGCCUGCCUUUUCAUGAGUGGUAGUCUCUUACUGCUUUCUUGUCACUGUGUCUGUCUUCUUUUUUAUUCUGUUUUUAAAAUUGAAGUAUUGUUGAUUUACAAUGCUGUGUUUAUUUCUGGUGUAUA